GAUGAACGCUGGCGGCGUGCCUAAUACAUGCAAGUCGAGCGAACAGACGAGGAGCUUGCUCCUUUGACGUUAGCGGCGGACGGGUGAGUAACACGUGGGUAACCUACCUAUAAGACUGGGAUAACUUCGGGAAACCGGAGCUAAUACCGGAUAAUAUUUCGAACCGCAUGGUUCGAUAGUGAAAGAUGGCUCUGCUAUCACUUAUAGAUGGACCUGCGCCGUAUUAGCUAGUUGGUAAGGUAACGGCUUACCAAGGCAACGAUACGUAGCCGACCUGAGAGGGUGAUCGGCCACACUGGAACUGAGACACGGUCCAGACUCCUACGGGAGGCAGCAGUAGGGAAUCUUCCGCAAUGGGCGAAAGCCUGACGGAGCAACGCCGCGUGAGUGAUGAAGGUCUUCGGAUCGUAAAACGCUGUUAUUAGGGAAGAACAAACGUGUAAGUAACUGUGCACGUCUUGACGGUACCUAAUCAGAAAGCCACGGCUAACUACGU
rnacentral:rRNA from 1 species